AAAUUGAAGAGUUUGAUCAUGGCUCAGAUUGAACGCUGGCGGCAGGCCUAACACAUGCAAGUCGAACGGUAACAGGAAGCAGCUUGCUGCUUUGCUGACGAGUGGCGGACGGGUGAGUAAUGUCUGGGAAACUGCCCGAUGGAGGGGGAUAACUACUGGAAACGGUAGCUAAUACCGCAUAACGUCGCAAGACCAAAGAGGGGGACCUUAGGGCCUCUUGCCAUCGGAUGUGCCCAGAUGGGAUUAGCUAGUAGGUGGGGUAAUGGCUCACCUAGGCGACGAUCCCUAGCUGGUCUGAGAGGAUGACCAGCCACACUGGAACUGAGACACGGUCCAGACUCCUACGGGAGGCAGCAGUGGGGAAUAUUGCACAAUGGGCGCAAGCCUGAUGCAGCCAUGCCGCGUGUAUGAAGAAGGCCUUCGGGUUGUAAAGUACUUUCAGCGGGGAGGAAGGGAGUAAAGUUAAUACCUUUGCUCAUUGACGUUACCCGCAGAAGAAGCACCGGCUAACUCCGUGCCAGCAGCCGCGGUAAUACGGAGGGUGCAAGCGUUAAUCGGAAUUACUGGGCGUAAAGCGCACGCAGGCGGUUUGUUAAGUCAGAUGUGAAAUCCCCGGGCUCAACCUGGGAACUGCAUCUGAUACUGGCAAGCUUGAGUCUCGUAGAGGGGGGUAGAAUUCCAGGUGUAGCGGUGAAAUGCGUAGAGAUCUGGAGGAAUACCGGUGGCGAAGGCGGCCCCC
rnacentral:rRNA from 1 species